GACGAGUGGCGGACGGGUGAGUAGUGUCUGGGGAUCUGCCCGAUAGAGGGGGAUAACCACUGGAAACGGUGGCUAAUACCGCAAAACGUCGCAAGACCAAAGAGGGGGACCUUCGGGCCUCUCACUAUCGGAUGAACCCAGAUGGGAUUAUCUAGUAGGCGGGGUAACGGCCCACCUAGGCCACUAUCCCUAUCUGGUCUGAGAGGAUGACCACCCACACUGGAACUGAGACACGGUCCAGACUCCUACGGGAGGCAGCAGUGGGGAAUAUUGCACAAUGGGCGCAAGCCUGAUGCAGCCAUGCCGCGUGUAUGAAGAAGGCCUUCGGGUUGUAAAGUACUUUCAGCGGGGAAGAA
rnacentral:rRNA from 1 species